GGCCAGGAUUGCGGGGUAAACUUCAAGAGACAGACCUCCUGUGAAACACACUAAAAGGGAAGAUUGGACCGCAAAGGUGGAAUAGAAAUGGAGGAAAAAACGUUGGGAAGCCAGCCUGUACUUUAAACACAGUAGAGCCAUUAGAACAGAACACUGAGAACCAGAGGUUUGAGUCAUGAGCAGAAACCUUUAUAUCCCAAAUCUGGACUAAAGACAAAGGUAACUUAAAAUUGGCUGUCCCCAGCAAAAUCAAUUCCCACAUGGUGAUGCAGCUAAGAAUCAUCAGUAGCCAUUACUCCUAGAAGCUCAUGGAAUUUGAAAGACCAAACAGAAGCUUUGGCAAGCCAUGGGAUAACCCAGAAGAAACCUGUGUGAAAGUUCUUAUAUGGAGAGUGAGUAGAGAGAUCUGGAAAUAUGUGUUUCUAAACAAUGGCAAGAAAUCUAGCAACUGGCAAUUAUACAAGAUUUUCUUUUUGUAAACAACACUGGAAUUUAAAUUAUUUUCAGGUAGCAAUGCCAGGAAUUUCUAAGGAAAUAUAAGGAUGAAAUGAGUUGAAAGAAAGAAGAGAUACUGGAGACCUGUUAAAUUAGGUAAAACAAAGAAAAAUUAAGGAAAUAUUUAGAAGAAGUAGUAAGACUAUCAAAUUUAAAUCUGUAGUUCCUUCCCCUCUGUGUAAAGAUGUCUUUAAUAUGGUAAUGGAUGUCAGAGGGUGGGGAGAGAGGCUGCAAUCACAUCAAUAGGAGAUAAGAGGACUCCAUCUUUUCUGCAUAUAAAGCUUUAGACCUGCAUUUUAUUUCAAGUUUGGUGAACAGCAAUCAGUUCCCAUUUGUGAUUAGACUCUGUCUUUUCACCGAAGAGAGGGUUGAGACAGAGUUUUAAAGGUUAUUCUACACUAGACAAAAGGAGUACAUGAAAAAUAAAAGGCUUUUCAAAUGAUCUAAAGUGCCCUUGAAUCUGCCACUUUGAUAUCAUUAGCAAAUUGUGAUUGAUUAAGUAUCACAGUUAAAUCUCUUACAAGCUUUUUGGAAUAAAAGAGAGUAUAGCAAGUGUGGAUAUUCCCAGUAUGUGGCAUUAUUUUCUAAAUGUAGAGUGAUUUUUUUUUUUUUCAGGUUGCAUAAUCCUAUCUUUUACUUCUGAAAUUAUAAAGUAAGAUAGAGUCCUGGGAGUAAUUGUUCCUGAAUCAGGGUUCAAGCAGACGACUGUCUCACCAUUUUAGACUGGGGAUUAAUAGUAGCAGUCUUGGGAUGAUACUAAAGUUCUACUCCCUUGAUAAAACAGACUAUGAGUCAGACAUGAUUUAUUUGAUUGUUUUUAUGAGUCACUUUUUUAGUCAAAAGAAUUUACUUGUUAUGAAGUUGGCCCAUUUCAAAUAAACAGUUUAAGGGAAUUUGUUUCCAGGGCAAGAAGAUAUUGUUUUCUUUAAUAUUCUAAAACAACAACAACAAAAAAUUCACUAAAGAUCACCAAAAUUCUCUUAAAUAUAAGGAUAAUUAAAUAUUUAUUAAACCAACAUGGUUUGAUAUACAAGGUAGCAUUUAAUCUCUGUCUUUUUCUGAUGUUUCGGUGGUGAAGGGAGUUAUAGGGGAAACAAGAGAAUAACAUAUUACAGACUGCCACAAGGAUAUGGAAUUCACAGACCCUUUUUUAAAUAUACGAAAGUGGAAGCAGUAAAUAUAUGAAAGUGAAUUAGGUUAGAAGGCCCAGAAUGAUAUUUUUCACUAUCCUACUUGUUGUGAUCUAUUCAAAGCUAUAACUAGAAUUUUUUAAUAUUCUAGUUGCUUCUCUGUGCAUCCAUUGGUAAGAUCUCACUUUUCCAUAACUUUUGAGGUUGGGUAUGACCACAUGAUUAGCUCUAGCCAGUGAAGUAUGAGUGGCAGUGACACUGGUCUUUUCUAGGGAAAAACCAAGGACCAGUCCAUUAUUUCUCUCUGACAUGAUGACCAUGGAAAAUCAUUGCCAGAUAGAGCAUUUGUAGUCUGGGUACCUAUGUAAAUAGGAAUGAUGUAGACUCUCUGCUGACCACAAUGAACCUGUAUUAUAAGGCAAUAAAUUCAAUAUAUAAGCCACUGAAAUGUUAGAAUAAUUUGUUUUGCAACAUAUUUUAUUCUGACUGGUACAUGUUUUAUCCCCCAGAUAAAUUCUUACAUGAAAUAAUAUACCCAUGUAUUUAACUUAUAAGUAUAGCAUUAAAAAAAACUUCAAAAUAUUUUAAAAUAAAAUUUUGAUUGAAGUUAUUAACGAAAAUUAAUACUCAACCUUAAUACAGUAAUUAGCUAAUCCUUCUUUGACUUAUUUUUUUUUACCUAUGUGCUGAUAAAUUUCUGGGCCUUUUGAUGUCUUUACCGCUUUUGUUGUGACUACAAAUGUGUCAAGUCUUUUUACUUGGUUUCAGUGUGAUUGUAAUUCAUCUUUCUGAUAGUUGUGAGGUAAUCUCCAUAACUCCCAGUCUCCACAGGCCACUCUUUAUUAUUGGAAGCCUUACCGUUUAUUUUCAAAAACAUUCACAACUGUGCAGUUUAUUAAGGGCAUAGGAUCUUGUUUUACUUAGAGUGCAUGAGAAGGUUGUUUUUCAUCCAGCCUUUCACAGACUUCCCUUUUCCCACCUUUCCUGUGAUUUCUCUCAUGCUAUCAUUCCUCUCUGGUCAGUUCUUAGUUUUCCUUCCCAUUUCAUCUCCAUCUCGCUAAAAGCCCACUAUCCCAGUUGUGGAGAAAGAGUGGCAGAUCUUCAGACUCUGCAUAGAAAAUUUGAUACCUAGUUCAUCAUUUCUUUAUUCAAGACAUUGUCAUCAAAUGCCUGCUAAAUACUUGGCACUCUGCAAGACAGUGCAGAUACAGCAAGUGGAAUGCAAUGCUGGUCCUUAAAUCUUGACCUUGAGACAGUUUGAUGAGAGGUUAAGCUGUUAAGAGAGCACCUAAGAGAGUCUCCAUGCCCAGUUUUGCCUGGAGGCUUCUUGGUUGUGAUGGCUAAUCUGAGAAUGCAUCAAAGUUUUCAAAGGGAUUCAGGAGAGAAUGGAGGGCAAUAGGAAGAGAUCUGGGCGGAGAAAAUAUUUAACAAAUCUCCUAAUUGAAAUAUCUUUGGUUUUUCCAAGAAUAGAAGUGAUUUAGUGGGCCUGAGAAAGAAUUUUUGUUAAAGGACAAAUAAUGGACAAGCAGGAUUGCGAGAAUCAGAUUUAAAAGUAGACAACAUGGGUCUAACAAUAAAAAAUCAUCCCGUGUUUUAAAGUGUGCUCACUUUAAUAGUUACUAUUUAUCCUCAAGGCUUUUCCCCACCAAUGGAAGAAUUUUUAUAUGGCAAGGAUCAGAUCUACAUUUUUGCCAGGUGACUUUGGUGACAGUAUGGAGAAUUUCCUAGAUGCUGGAAAAUCAAUCAAGAGUUUAUUGUUAUUUAAAAAAAAGAAAAAAGAUGACAGUAGUCUGAAUUAGGUAGUGAUAAGAUGGAGGAAAAGAGUGGAUGGUUUGUGAAAGAUUAGGAGGUAGAAAAAAGGUUCAGUAGUUGCUGUGACAGGAGGAAGAGGGAAAGGGAAGCAGGAAAGGCAAUACUGAGUCAGAAGAUGGGCAUCUGGGCAGACAAAUUCUUUGGGAUGUGUAUAAAAGGAAUCAGAAAGCAGGACAACUGUAUUGUAUAUAAAGAACUCCAUUUUAGAAAAAAAAGUUUAGUAGAACUAUAAAAUGUUACUCCAAGUUGAAAUGUCCUUUGCUCAACAGUAUAAACCAGAUUGAAAUGCUAUGCUCAAAAGAUUGGUCAAUCACACCUUCUUCGUUUUGCCUCUUAAAUAUCCUUUCCAGAACACUUCACAUUUUUCUUCUAUUUUAAAUGUUCACAAGCACAACAUAAUAGUGUUUCAAACUCAUGAAAUACUUCUCUUAAAUAGCAUUUGUUUCAAGUUGUAAAGCUUUUAAAUUUACAAUGCUUUCUAAGUCACCUUUGAAUACAGUCUGUCCUCUAUACUCACAGAUGUGGAACCCAUACUACUAUACCAUCUUAUGGAAGAGACUUGAGCUUCUGUAGAUUUUUGUAUCUGAAAGGGUCCUGGAACUAAUCUCCCCCAGAUUGUAUUACCAUCCACAUGAUUUUGAUUGAGGCGGGUUCUCUUACAGAUGAGAAAUUGAUGCUCAAUUCUUAGGUGACCCUGUAUUUAAUCAUGAUUAAGCUGAGGAGUCCUGACUCAAAUCCACAUCCUCUGGUUUCUAAUCAAUUAUAAAGAAAUAGUGCAGGUUCCAAACCACCACAAUAAAGGGACUGUCACAGUAAAGUGAGUCUCAGGAACUUUUUGGUUCCACAGUGCAUAUAAAAGUUGUGUUUACACUACAUUGUAGUGUAUUAAGUAUGCUAUAGCAUUGUGUCUAAAAACAAGGUAACUGUUACAUUGCAGUUAAAAAUUAUAAUGUAACAAUUCUUAAUUUUAAAAUGCUGUUGAAAAAAAC
rnacentral:lncRNA from 9 species